rnacentral:lncRNA from 1 species
CUUGACAAUGGGAGAGGGAGACCAGGAGAAGGCGUGACUGCACCCAGUUCAGGCCUGGAGGAGACAUACGGUAAUGGACUCGAGACGCCAACAACCAGGGUCACCAGCAGGUUGCUGAGAGGAGUUCUCGUCUAGCACGGAUACUGAACCACUCCGCCCUGGGUAUCGGCAUCACCGUCAUCAUCCUGUACAUUGUCUACGUCGUCAUCCUGGCCAAAAAUAUCCACUGAUCUGACACCUAAACACCGGCUUGCACCACAGCCACCGCUUCUCUCAACCCCAGCCCCCAAAAUCAUCCUGAUCUUGACCACAUAAAGUCGGUGCCAGUUACAGGCACUUUCCAAAGAGAUACAUAAUGCUGUUUAUUCAUCAACAUUUAUGACAUGCUUUUUUAAAAACUAUAUAUCUAAUGACUUACUUUUUUAAAUACCUGCAGAC